ACCAGUAAUGUUUGUCAUUCAAACCCAAGAAUUCUGAAGGGAGUCGGGGAAGCACAGUACUUCAGCAGCAGCUCCACUGUGGGGGCAGAAGAGCAGCUCCCUUGCUAAGAGUCAUCCAGCAUCCCUGGACUUCCGAGGGUAGUGCCACAGAGAGCUGCAAUUUGAGGAGGAUCUCCCAGGCUGGAAUGGGUCCUUCAAAUGUGGAGGAGAGGAGAUGGUAACAAGGGAAGAAGACAAUACACACGGAGUGCCUGCGCUGGGUGAAGGACUGUGUGAGGUGCUGACCUGUGUAGUUAAACUCAGAGUCUCUGAGAGGAUGAUACCCUCCUGGCUCCAUUCACGGCAAGGUUUUAGCUCCAUGGGGAUUGGGACUAUGAGUCUCCCAGUAUCCAGCACAGGGGCCUUCAGAGAACCAGGCCCACAACCGGAAAUAGAGACACCAAGGACCUGAGACCCAGAAGGAGGCGCAGAAGCUGAGAAUAACAGCUCAGGUGAAGAAGCAACUGCAGAAAAGGAAAUCUGGUGCUGAACAAGAAGACAACAGAAGAACAAAGACAAUGGUCACAGAGGGGACAGGAUGUGCCAGGGGACAGUCAGCCUGAGAAGAGGACAAGAACAGACCUUGGCCUCCCUCUCAGUCCCCAAAUCAGAAGGCCUGGUUUGAGACCUUCUUACCCAAAGUGGUGCUUUCUGCAGCCUAUUUGCUUCAGGGCUAAGGGACAAAGGCACUAACUUCUUUCUUUCCAGUUCGAAUGCAACUAGCUUAGAAGGUUGGGCAGUUCAAGGAGCUCUUCCUGUGGGUCUGGUGUGUGGACAGACAGGCAGGCAGGCAGGGGGUGAUGAAGGAGGGUCUCAGCUGCACCAGGGAUCUGCACGGCAGCUGUUUCUAAGGCGGGCAAAUGCAGACUGCCUUAUUUGUGCUGGCCUUGAAAGGCAGCCCAUGUUAGAGGCCUCAACAUGCACAUCAGCCUGGCCCUGCAUCUUUGGUGAGCACAGGGUUGACGUGAUUUGUGGCUGAUUGGGUCCCUGAAGUUGCAGAGGACUCUUUUCCCUUCCUCUGGGUCCUCCAAAGUAUUCAGAGAAAAAUGUAAGGGUUCUGCAUAGGCCUGAGGGUGUAGCACCUACCUGCCCUGCAAGGCGAGACAAUGGGUCCAAUCCCUAGUGCCCCAAAAGACAAGCUCCCCCGCAACAAAAAACUUCUGAGUCAGGCAUGGUGGCACGUGCUUGUAAUCCCAGCACUUGGGAGGCUGAGUGGGAGCUGCAAGUUCUAGGGCAGCCUGAACUACAUGGCAAGAUCCUGUCUCAACAACAACAACCACCACCACAACAACAAAGUUCUAAACAGAACUCAAGUUAAUAAAUAUUUUUUUCCUCUGGAAAAAUUAGAAAUUUCUUCAGAUUGGGCAAAGAGAAAGAAUGGUUUAGAAAUGUAGUUUCUAUAUUUGCAAACAUAUUUUCAUUAUAUCAAAUGAUGGUAAAAUUCCUAUUUGACCUAAUGUUUUUGCUUUUCAGGCUCCUUUUGGAUGAAUACAAAAUUUAAAAACAUAGAACAUACAUGAAUGUUAAAAUGCUAAAAAGCUUUCACUAAGAGAAACCACGACUCAAGCACCAUGGGGCCAAGUCAGGGGUUUUGUGGUAUUAACACAGACAUUUGCAUAUAUUCUCUUCCUAGUCUGGCUUCUUACAGAUCCAAGUGAAAAUCUAAUUGUUGUCGCCCUAGGAACAGCUCGACAGCCUCACCAUGGGCCUAGUCCUCAUGGCAACAGGAACUGUCUCCUUUGGCUUACGAGCUCUGGUAACUGUUGGAGGUGGGGUGGGGCAGGUGCUGAUCAGAGAAAUCUGGAGAGACAGGAGUCUGUCGGAUCACGUGAAAGGACCUGACACACUGCAUCAUUUGCAUGAGCAGUUCUGGACCA
rnacentral:lncRNA from 1 species